GAUGAACGCUAGCGGCAGGCUUAACACAUGCAAGUCGAGGGGUAACAGAGAGUGCUUGCACUUUGCUGACGACCGGCGCACGGGUGCGUAACGCGUAUACAAUCUACCUCUUACUGAGGGAUAGCCCAGAGAAAUUUGGAUUAAUACCUCAUAGUAUGUUAGAGUGGCAUCACUUUAAUAUUAAAGGUUACGGUAAGAGAUGAGUAUGCGUUCUAUUAGCUAGUAGGUAUGGUAAUGGCAUACCUAGGCGACGAUAGAUAGGGGCCCUGAGAGGGGGAUCCCCCACACUGGUACUGAGACACGGACCAGACUCCUACGGGAGGCAGCAGUGAGGAAUAUUGGUCAAUGGGCGCAAGCCUGAACCAGCCAUGCCGCGUGCAGGAAGACUGCCCUAUGGGUUGUAAACUGCUUUUAUACAGGAAGAAACACUCCCUCGUGAGGGAGCUUGACGGUACUGUAAGAAUAAGGAUCGGCUAACUCCGUGCCAGCCGCCGCCGUAACAC
rnacentral:rRNA from 1 species